AACGCAACUGACUCCUGUUUACCGUCAUGCCUAUUUCAGUUAGCCUAGAGAGCAAACUAUCAUUGUAAAAUAUAAUGCGAUUGAGGUACAUUUAUGUUCUUCUUUCGUUAAAUAUGAAGGUGUGAAAGAUGAGUAAUCUCUGACACUGUCAAACGAAGUAGUCAUGCUUGUUCGUGAUCUCGUUUAACCAGUGCUAAAGGUUUUUGCUUAGCUAUAAAUCACAUCUAAUCAAUAAAAUAACUCCAAAUUUGGCAUAUGAAAUCAGACAAGCAUACACGAUGAAAUUAA
rnacentral:misc_RNA from 1 species